GCUGGACUCAAGGAUCCUCCUACCACAGCCUCCCGAGUAGCUAGGAUUACAGACCAUCCACAAUAUUGCUUGAACAUCUGAAGACAUGGGGGACUCGCCAUCUGAUAUCUGAUAACAGACUUCCUGUAAAGCAGAACCAGUAGUUUCUUGAUAACAAAUUCUUCAAUAUGAAGAUAUGGAUAAAGCAUUUGGCUGCCAAUAAUGAAUUGCACCAAAGUCAUCAAUUCAAACCGUGCCCUGGUAAAUAGUAUUAGUGAUGAUGAUGAUGAUGAUGAUGAUGAUGAUGAUGUCACAUGUUGAAAAUAUCAUGUAGAUUUUAGCAUUUUGAGAACUUGAUACUCUAUAACAGUGGUCCCUAACAUUUUUGGCACCAGGGACCACUUUCAUGGAAGACAGUUUUUUUCAUGGAUCAGGAGAGGGGGUGGUUUUGGGAUUAAUCAAGCACAUUAUACUUAUUGUAUACUUUGUUUCUAUUAUUAUUACAUUGUAAUAAUAAUAAAAUAAUUAUACAACUCA